CUCGGCGAAAGAGGUGUCAACACAAUGUGGGCUAGCAAUUGUAUUAUUUUCAUUAUGCUUUCCUUAAAGGACGGAAGAGAAUAACUUUCUAUGGUGGUACUACUGAUCCAAUUGCAGCAAUUAAUCGUCUCAGGUCCUGUGUGGGACUCUUGUCGACAGUCACAAAAGUUGCAUUCCGGUUCAGUGCUGGACGUACGCCAGUCCGACAGUCUUAAAACCACAAUACAGCGGACAUAAAGAACGGUAAACAAAGAAAGGAGUAAAUGCAUUCGGUCUUGAUACGUCGUCUGUUCAGAAUAAUAGACCCGUGUUCGAUAUAAACAUCUGGACAAUAGGAUUGAAUACCUGCGUUGACUGUGAAGCAGAAUCGACGUCACAGGGAUCGAUCAUCAUUGUGCAAUCGACAGGUGUGCCAUAGAAACUCGUGAGCUGCUCGCAGAUGGGCAAACACCAUGAACAAGAAACAUAUUUCACAUUUAAACCAAGUGGCUUCGUCUUCAUUCAUUGCAAUCAUCACCUCAAGGGCAGAGUCUUACAUGACAGAGUGGCUGCAGAGGUCAGCGUCGUAACAGUUCAGCAGACUGCAGCUUGCCAGGACAAUGAAAACACGAUUCCCAGGAGUCGAUUAUCGAGUGGCUAUCCACAAGUUACCGCAUUAUUAACAUACGCCUGAAAAUUUUAAUUAAAAUUAAA